GAGGACAUUUAGUAAGUUGGGAGCCAGACAGAACAAAAUGUAGCCCAAACUCUUUAAGAAAGAAGAAGUGGUUCUGUCCUUAGGAAGGAAGCUUGUAUGAGAUCCCAGCCAUCGGUGGGUGUGAUGUAGACAAGCCAGACUUCACUCAACUGAUGCUGGCCCAAAGAACAGAUGGCAAGAGAGCUCCAGAUUGCCAUGAGAAGGGACCAGCUGUCUUGGGUUUGCUACUAUUAGGAACAAGGCCUGAUGGGACACUAGAAUCACGAUUUAUCAUGUGGGGAGAAAAUGAAAUGUGUUUGGAUGAGGUCACUUGGACAAAGUUUGGAGAACAAGUCCAUGGGAGAUCUCACCACCUGGCCAGUACUUCUGAGACUGACAUCUUCCUAUGUGCUCUG
rnacentral:lncRNA from 1 species